GUUAAGCGACUAAGCGUACACGGUGGAUGCCCUGGCAGUCAGAGGCGAUGAAGGGCGUGCUAAUCUGCGAUAAGCGCCGGUAAGGUGAUAUGAACCGUUAUAACCGGCGAUACCCGAAUGGGGAAACCCAGUGUGACUCGUCACACUAUCAUUAACUGAAUCCAUAGGUUAAUGAGGCGAACCGGGGGAACUGAAACAUCUAAGUACCCCGAGGAAAAGAAAUCAACCGAGAUUCCCCCAGUAGCGGCGAGCGAACGGGGAGGAGCCCAGAGCCUGAAUCAGCAUGUGUGUUAGUGGAAGCGUCUGGAAAGGCGCGCGAUACAGGGUGACAGCCCCGUACACAAAAGCGCAUGUGC
rnacentral:rRNA from 1 species